UGGGGAAUAUUGCACAAUGGGCGCAAGCCUGAUGCAGCGACGCCGCGUGGGGGAUGACGGCCUUCGGGUUGUAAACUCCUUUCGUUAGGGACGAAGCCACACUUUUUGGGUGUGGUGACGGUACCUUUGUUAAGAAGCACCGGCUAACUACGUGCCAGCAGCCGCGGUAAUACGUAGGGUGCGAGCGUUGUCCGGAAUUACUGGGCGUAAAGAGCUCGUAGGUGGUUUGUUGCGUCGUCUGUGAAAUUCCGGGGCUUAACUUCGGGGUGGCAGGCGAUACGGGCAUAACUAGAGUGCUGUAGGGGAGACUGGAAUUCCUGGUGUAGCGGUGGAAUGCGCAGAUAUCAGGAGGAACACCGAUGGCGAAGGCAGGUCUCUGGGCAGUAACUGACGCUGAGGAGCGAAAGCAUGGGGAGCGAACAGGAUUAGAUACCCUGGUAGUCCAUGCUGUAAACGGUGGGCGUUAGGUGUGGGGACCGGUUUGGUUUCUGUGCCGUAGCUAACGCAUUAAGCGCCCCGCCUGGGGAGUACGGCCGCAAGGCUA
rnacentral:rRNA from 1 species